rnacentral:rRNA from 1 species
AACGAACGCUGGCGGCAUGCCUAACACAUGCAAGUCGAACGAGACCUUCGGGUCUAGUGGCGCACGGGUGCGUAACGCGUGGGAACCUGCCCUUAGGUUCGGAAUAACUCCCCGAAAGGGGUGCUAAUACCGGAUAAUGUCUUCGGACCAAAGAUUUAUCGCCUUUGGAUGGGCCCGCGUUGCAUUAGCUUGUUGGUAGGGUAAAAGCCUACCAAGGCGACGAUCCAUAGCUGGUCUGAGAGGAUGAUCAGCCACACUGGGACUGAGACACGGCCCAGACUCCUACGGGAGGCAGCAGUGGGGAAUAUUGGACUAUGGGCGAAAGCCUGAUCCAGCAAUGCCUCGUGAGUGAUGAAGGCCUUAGGGUUGUAAAGCUCUUUUACCCGGGAUGAUAAUGACAGUACCGGGAGAAUAAGCUCCGGCUAACUCCGUG